rnacentral:lncRNA from 1 species
AUUACACAUAUACAUAUAUAUGAACAAUUUAAAGUUUACUCAAGAAUGUGUAUUUUUUCUACAUUAUAAAAUGUGGUAUUGGGUUCUAGGAAAUUAUUUCAAACUACACGAUCAUUUGAAGAAGAUAGCUCUUAGGAAAAAAGAGAUGAUCUCCUCUAACUUCUUAGAACCACUGCACUGCCAAAUGGGGAUUUAUUUCUAUUGCCUCAUCCAAGUCAGUUCCAAAGCUUAACUCUUCCAUGAAGUUUUCCAUGAUCAAUCCUGCCUAAGGUUCACAGGUGCUGUGAUGUCUUUCACAGGCAAUGGAUAAAGCAUCCUGCAUUGUCCUAGGCACACUCUGUAGGGAAGAUAUGGGAAUCUGAAGUCAACUUUGCCAAAAUUGUGAGGAUUGCUAAUGUGAGAUGAGAAUCUACUCACAAACAUUAAGAAGGUAACAUGAUGAGUGAAGUAAAGGGGCUGCUACUAAGAGAAAGCAUGCUCUCAGAUAACCGUUUUCAGAUAACGUCGAGAAAGUGAGAGUAUACACAGAUCAACAUGAUGGUCCACUUAACGGGGGAAGAGAGUAAAAUGUUGGUGUCACUGACAAGGAUGGCAACAUUUAAAUGUUCAGAUCCUUACAGGAGAAGCAUUGCAGUCACUUGACAAUCUCAAGCUAUGUGUUUCUUCAGUGCUUCUUGAAAACAUUUAUA